rnacentral:ncRNA from 1 species
GCUAACGCGUUAAGUGUCCCGCCUGGGGAGUACGGCCGCAAGGCUAAAACUCAAAGGAAUUGACGGGGAUCUGCACAAGCGGUGGAGCAUGUGGUUUAAUUCGACACAAAGCGAAAAACCUUACCAGGGUUUGAAAUGCUAGCUGCACCCUGACAGAAAUGUCGGGUUUCUUCGAGAGUGCUAGCACAGGUGCUGCAUGGCUGUCGUCAGCUUGUACCGUGAGGCGCACCCUUAAGUGGGUUAACAAGCGCAACCCCCAUCGUAUGUUAAAUAUUCAUGCGAAACCGCUCGCUAAAAGCGAGAGGAAGGCGGGGAUGACGUCAAGUCAGCACGGCCCUUAUGCCCUGGGCUACACACAUCCUACAAUGGGCACUAACAGCGAGCUGCGACCCGGUAACGGGUAGCAAAUCUUUAUAAAUGUGCCCCUAGUUCGGAUUGAGGGCUGAAACCUGCCCUCAUGAAGCCGAAAUCGCUAGUAAUCGCGGAUCAGCAGGCCGCGGUGAAUACGUUCUCAGGUCUUGUACACACCGCCCGUCAAGCCAACAAAGUCGGGAGCGCCCGAAAUAUCCUUUUAGGGUCUUAAGGCGAUACCGGCGAUGGGGACUAAGUCGUAACAAGGUAUCCGUUCUGGAAGGAGCGGAUGGAUCACCUCCUUU